rnacentral:rRNA from 1 species
GAUGUGCCCAGAUGGGAUUAGCUUGUAGGUGGGGUAACGGCUCACCUAGGCGACGAUCCCUAGCUGGUCUGAGAGGAUGACCAGCCACACUGGAACUGAGACACGGUCCAGACUCCUACGGGAGGCAGCAGUGGGGAAUAUUGCACAAUGGGCGCAAGCCUGAUGCAGCCAUGCCGCGUGUAUGAAGAAGGCCUUCGGGUUGUAAAGUACUUUCAGCGGGGAGGAAGGGAGUAAAGUUAAUACCUUUGCUCAUUGACGUUACCCGCAGAAGAAGCACCGGCUAACUCCGUGCCAGCAGCCGCGGUAAUACGGAGGGUGCAAGCGUUAAUCGGAAUUACUGGGCGUAAAGCGCACGCAGGCGGUUUGUUAAGUCAGAUGUGAAAUCCCCGGGCUCAACCUGGGAACUGCAUCUGAUACUGGCAAGCUUGAGUCUCGUAGAGGGGGGUAGAAUUCCAGGUGUAGCGGUGAAAUGCGUAGAGAUCUGGAGGAAUACCGGUGGCGAAGGCGGCCCCCUGGACGAAGACUGACGCU